rnacentral:rRNA from 1 species
UACGUAGGGCGCAAGCGUUGUCCGGAAUUAUUGGGCGUAAAGAGCUCGUAGGUGGCGUGUCGCGUCUGCCGUGAAAGCCCAUGGCUUAACUGUGGGUCUGCAGUGGAUACGGGCAGGCUGGAGGCAGGCAGGGGAGAACGGAAUUCCCGGUGUAGCGGUGAAAUGCGCAGAUAUCGGGAGGAACACCGGUGGCGAAGGCGGUUCUCUGGGCCUGUGCUGACGCUGAGGAGCGAAAGCGUGGGGAGCGAACAGG